UACAGAGGUCCCAAGCGUUGUUCGGAUUCACUGGGCGUAAAGGGUGCGUAGGUGGUGAGGUAAGUCGGAUGUGAAAUCUCCGAGCUCAACUCGGAAACUGCAUUGGAAACUACCUUGCUCGAGGGUUGGAGGGGGGACGUGGAAUACUUGGUGUAGCAGUGAAAUGCGUAGAUAUCAAGUGGAACACCAGUGGCGAAGGCGAGUCCCUGGACAACUCCUGACACUGAGGCACGAAAGCUAGGGGAGCAAACAGG
rnacentral:rRNA from 1 species